UAGAAUGUGGUGUAAUGGUAGCACUAAGAAUUUUGAGUUCUUAAGUUUAGGUUCAAAUCCUAAUGUUCUAG
rnacentral:tRNA from 1 species